AUUAAUGUGUUGAUGAGGAUAGUAAAAUGUGCGUGCAUUUCAGAGAGAAGGCCGAGUGGUGAAAGGCUUUCAUGAACAAGCAUUUGAAUGUCACCUCGGAGCAGUUUCCGUGAAAUUGGAGUAGCGGGGACCGGAUGUGAAAUCCGUUAUCGAACUUGAGAGCCAGGUUUUUUUAACUUGCGCAUAAAGGUGGUACCGCGAACAACUCCUUCGUCCUUUUC
rnacentral:ncRNA from 2 species